AAUUGGUUGACAGAUUAAUGUAUUUGAUUUAGGAUCAAAUUAUGGAUAUAACUCCACCAAUUA
rnacentral:tRNA from 1 species